rnacentral:rRNA from 1 species
GAUGAACGCUGGCGGCGUGCCUAAUACAUGCAAGUCGAGCGAACAGACGAGGAGCUUGCUCCUCUGACGUUAGCGGCGGACGGGUGAGUAGCACGUGGAUAACCUACCUAUAAGACUGGGAUAACUUCGGGAAACCGGAGCUAAUACCGGAUAAUAUAUUGAACCGCAUGGUUCAAUAGUGAAAGACGGUUUUGCUGUCACUUAUAGAUGGAUCCGCGCCGCAUUAGCUAGUUGGUAAGGUAACGGCUUACCAAGGCAACGAUGCGUAGCCGACCUGAGAGGGUGAUCGGCCACACUGGAACUGAGACACGGUCCAGACUCCUACGGGGGGCAGCAGUAGGGAAUCUUCCGCAAUGGGCGAAAGCCUGACGGAGCAACGCCGCGUGAGUGAUGAAGGUCUUCGGAUCGUAAAACUCUGUUAUUAGGGAAGAACAAAUGUGUAAGUAACUAUGCACGUCUUGACGGUACCUAAUCAGAAAGCCACGGCUAACUACGUG